UACGGGGGGGGCAAGCGUUGUUCGGAAUUACUGGGCGUAAAGGGCUCGUAGGUGGCCAACUAAGUCAGACGUGAAAUCCCCAGGCUUAACCUGGGAACUGCGUCUGAUACUGGAUGGCUUGAAUUCGGGAGAGGGAUGCAGAAUUCCAGGUGUAGCGGUGAAAUGCGUAGAUUUCUGGAGGAAUACCGGUGGCGAAGGCGGCAUCCUGGACCGAGAUUGACACUGAAGAGCGAAAGCCAGGGGAGCAAACGGG
rnacentral:rRNA from 1 species